rnacentral:misc_RNA from 1 species
CAGAGUUCAUGCCCUAACGGGUAGACCUCCCACCCUUUGUUAUACCUACCUUUGUUGCUUUGGCAGGCCGCCUUCGGGCACUCGGCUCUCGCUGAGGUGCGCCUGCCAGAGGACCCCAAACUCUGAAUUUUAAUGUCGUCUGAGUACUAUAUAAUAGUUA